UCAUGGGUGCCUGGUUGAGACAAAAAGGCUGAGGACUGACAUUUCUAGUCAGGGCAUUGGGACAGAUCUACCUGCUGCGAAGGGAACAUCCCCGUCCCCCGCUCACUGUAAGCCUCUACCAGUUUUUAAUCAGCCUGAUUUCCUGCAUUGAGCCAGCCAGGAGGGAAAGUGAAAGGGAGACUUGCACAGGCAUCCAGGGCUGGAAAACAGGAGGACGGGUGGCGGUUCAGGCAGCAAAGCCUUUGCUGCAGCUCAACACGCACCCGCUGUUUACUCACAUGUGAGAUCAGCCCUAACAGGAAGAACAAGGAAGCCAUGUUUCACUGAAUCGCCCCAAGUGCACUGUAGAAACGGCAUAAUUUGAGCUGAGAAUUUAAAAUUGUGAUGACUGACAGCCCCUCCUUCUGAGAAAUUGUGUCAGUGCAGAAAGGAGUCCCAGCCAGCUGCAGUGUCUUUCCUGCUGCUUGGGCAAGCAGAAACAGAGGUGGGAGCAGUCCAGCUACCAUGGGAGUCGGCGACUUGUAAACUGAGAGCAAGUGACCCGGGAUCAGCCAGAGGGAAGGAUGUUGUCACAAGGUUGGUUUUACAACGGUCUAGUGCAGCCAGAUUUAGGAUGCACUAAAUGAAGGAAAAAAGCCAAAGGUGUUACCAAAGGUUUGGAUGUGGCCAUGAGCUCCUGUUCUCCAAGACAAAGGAGAUGACAGAAGAGAAACAAAAAGGAUGUUUCAAAUGGGGAGGAUCUGGAUUUUAACAGUCUUACCUCUGCUCCCACAAUCUAUUUCACUGUGAUGCCCUGGCACUUCUUUCCUCUCAUCAACCCCUUACUAUCUCACUAGAAACACCCUCUCA